GGGAAGGAGAGGUUAUAGAGGAUGAUGGGAUGUUAAGGGGAAGGAGAGGUUAGAGAGAAUGAUGGGAUGUUAAGGGGAAAGAGAGUUUAGAGAGGAUGAUGGGAUGUUAAGGGGAAGGAGAGGUUAGAGAGGAUGAUGGGAUGUUAAGUGGAAGUAGAAGUUAGAGAGGAUGGUGGGAUGUUAAUGGGAAGGAGAGGUUAGAGAGGAUGAUGGGAUGUUUAGAGGAAGGAGAGGUUAGAGAGGAUGGUGGGAUGUUAAUGGGAAGGAGAGGUUAGAGAGGAUGAUGGGAUGUUAAGAGGAAGGAGAGGUUAGAGAGGAUGAUGGGAUGUUAAGAGGAAGGAGAGGUUGGAGAGGAUGAUGGGAUGUUAAAGGGAAGGAGAGGUUAUAGAGGAUGAUGGGAUGUUAAGGGGAAGGAGAGGUUAGAGAGGAUGAUGGGAUGUUAAGGGGAAGGAGAGGUUAGAGAGGAUGAGGGGAUGUUAAGAGUGAAGAGGAAGGAGAGUUUAGAG
ensembl:lncRNA